CGAAAGAAUCAGCCCGAGGCCAAGCCUUGGCAGAAGACAUUUCAGCCUGGAUGAGUAACAUCUAACAAACUUACCAGCAACCGAAAGCAGGAUCUUAUAACGAGAACUGUCAGGGGUGGUAAUUACAAGCAGCGCUACCAGCUCUGUCUGCAAUGUGCAUCACCCAGAAAAGGAGGGAAGCGCAUAAAUGGUGUUCAGGUCUCCAGUCCCAAGUUGCGCAGCGCCCACAAGCAAGUAAGAAGCUGUGCUCCUGUGACUGCAAAUUGGUGCCAUCAGCUGAAGAAGGUGACCCAGCCCUGGCAUCUGGGCCAUCCCACUGGCCCACCUGACCUGUGCCUGCUGCACAGCCCAUAUGCCCAGGAUGUUGAAGACCUGCUGGGAAAUCCCCUCCUUACUCCGAAAAGUUAGAGUGCGACCAACAUGUCUGGGUUAUAGAUUACUUGGAAUGCCACCAUGAUUUGCUGAUCUUCCUAUACGUGCUUGGACUAUCCAGCAGCCAAGGAUUAUAGAGUGCUGGGGCUGAAGAUAUGAAUACUUCCUCUGGUGUGGGAGAGUAGCAGGACCACCCUCCCAGAGAGCAGUUUCUCACCAUGCCCUCUCACCCUGUCUGGCUGCCCAAACAGCAGGCACCUUCUGCAUUUUACUUGUUGGACAUACAGGAUGAAGACGAGAUGGCAGAACUGCUGCUAAUGUAUGAGAUGCAGCUCUCAUGACCUGUGGGUACCUGGAUUUUCCUGCUCAGAAGUGGCAGUGGGGACAGCAGUGUCCUGAGGCACAGGGAGGAGCAGCCCAACCCAAGACAAGGUGGUGCUGGAAAUGAUGCUGUGUGCUGAAGGCUUCAAAACAUUUGAUACACAUGGACUUCUGUGCCAGCCCUUAGAAGGCAAUUUAAUCUCCACUAUUACCAGAUCCUGAAGAGAGCACAGCACCUUGAAUCUCAGAAAUUGUGGUCUUGUCUUUUUUGAAUAAGUGCCUUACUCUCAGAGCAGAGUAAAAUCCAUCUUCCUGUCUACAUACAACGGUAAUGUUUUCUAAAGUAAUGACUUCUUAAAGCCUCAGAGGGUGGGACUUCAUUUUCCAGAUGCUGUGCAAGCAUACUU